GUGCGUGUACGUUACACAUACUGGUUUACUCACCCAGCCAAUUUAAGCCAAGCUUUUGGGAGUACGCACAAAAAAACAGUCUGUGCCGCUGGUCUGCAAGGACAAUGCUAAUGGCGUCGUCAUGCUAACCCAAGAGCGCUGACACCGAUGUGAUGAACGACAAAAGCUUUGGAGUGACCUUGUGGAGGAAGUAAAAAAAGGCCUCGUGUCCAAACAUGGUGGCCAAUAGCCAAAAUCUGCUAAAAGUCAGGUGACGAGCACCUCUGAUAAGGAAAGAUCACGCGUGACUCAGCGGACGAUGAGGACAUUCGCCACCACCAAACAGUCGCCCAAGCACGGGGUCAAACGUCACCCCCCGACUAGGAAAUUGAUGAGGGCAGUCCGGGGAGAGAGGAUGGCUCUCUUGAUGUGCAGUUCUUUGAGAACCUUCUGUCCAAGGUGGCUCUCCAUGACCAGCUUCUGCACCUGAUCCAAAUCUUUGGACACCAGCACAGGAGGCAUCCCGCAGGAAAGACAAGGAAGGACAUGAACUUCGUCCAAACUACAAGCGAGAGUGAAAGCACAGCUUGUUACCAGACGUCAAAUAGAUCUACUGUAUGCGUGUCGUCCACAAUGAUCGGAUGUUGACCUCGAAAGGGAGAAGGAAAGCCCGUGCGUGAGGCAUCAAAGACGACGCUCGGUCUUCCUUCCCACUCUUUUGUUUUCUACGCCGGGCUAAGAGAUCACAGCAUGGCUUUCAACUAGAGGACGCAAUGUAUUUUAGUUUUACUUGAAGACGGUAUCACAUAUUUGAUGACAGUUUGGUACAUCAUUGUUGGGUAUUUGUUGGUAUUAAAGAAGCAGCAAUGUCAUCACUUCCUCUUACUGCACGAUGUGCUCACUACACGUUUGUGCUAUGACAGGCAGAACUUCCUGAAAAGUGUCAAAUCAAGAUAAUUUGAAAACCUACCAUCUAUCUCCAAUCUACUGAUUAGAAUAGUAGUAAGUAUAGCGCAGACAUCUACAAACUGUAGAUUUUGUGGUGCUCCAUACUUCUGCCUACCUCUGGUUUUAUUCAAAUGGUAAGAUUGUAUUAUUGGUGGGAGGCUCCAUUUGUGCCAUUGUGACUAUUGCAUUAAAUAUUACACCAAUUAUGA